GUGCACUGGAUGCUACUGCUGUACACAUACAGCAGGAAGAAAAAGUCAAGGAGCUGAUGAGAGCUGUCACAGCUGAAAGUGGUUCAAGUGCCUUUUCACAGAUUCUGUGUCUCAGACACGGACAUCCUUUUUUACACCAGAUUCACGUCAAGAGAUGUUUUUUGUGACUUCUGGGAGGUUAUUCAACCAUCUGCCUCCAUGUUGGUUUAUUGGUCGAAAGCUCAGAAAAAGAAACAAACAUUUGAACCCAUUUCUCCCAGUCCAACGUGUAGACUGCAACUGGUUGAGUUUUUUUCUCUUCUGCUACCGGGUUGCUGCAGGCCUGCAAGAGAAGGUGCUGGCUGACAUGUUUCAGAGCUGACUGAACGAAGUGGACUGCUGGAUUUACUGGAGCCAGGAGAUGGCUGCAUGGCAGACAAGGGUUUCACCAUCGAGAAGCCACUAGCUGAUUGUGGGGCAACACUGAUUAUACCACCCUUCAAGAUGACAGUUCACUGAAGAGGAUGCUCUGAAAAACACAAGCAAUCGCUCGACUUCGAAUCCUCGUAGAAAGAGCAAUAGGCAGAGUCAAGGAAUACCUCAUCUGGGAACACACUGUCCUUUCACCUUGUCUGCGACAGUCAAUCAGCUGUGGACCGUCUGCUGUGAUGACCAACUUCCAGGGACCACUUGAUUUAAAGGCUACAUCCCUGUGUUUCUACUCAAACAUGUAUCUAUAAAUAUAAUAUAUAAAUAUUAAAACGAGAGGCACUGAACGUUUGGAGUGGUCCCUUCAUUUUUUCCGGAGCUGUAAUUUUGUACACUGAAAACAUAUUGAAUGACAUGUAUGUAAUUGAAUGAGAAGUCUUUCAUCUAUAAUCAAUUUUAAAGUCCAG
ensembl:lncRNA